GACGAGUGGCGGACGGGUGAGUAAUGUCUGGGAAACUGCCUGAUGGAGGGGGAUAACUACUGGAAACGGUAGCUAAUACCGCAUAACGUCGCAAGACCAAAGAGGGGGACCUUCGGGCCUCUUGCCAUCGGAUGUGCCCAGAUGGGAUUAGCUAGUAGGUGGGGUAACGGCUCACCUAGGCGACGAUCCCUAGCUGGUCUGAGAGGAUGACCAGCCACACUGGAACUGAGACACGGUCCAGACUCCUACGGGAGGCAGCAGUGGGGAAUAUUGCACAAUGGGCGCAAGCCUGAUGCAGCCAUGCCGCGUGUAUGAAGAAGGCCUUCGGGUUGUAAAGUAC
rnacentral:rRNA from 1 species